GGUUAAACUGCACAGGGAACACAGGAGGUCUCAAAUAAAUUCAAACAAUUACAGCUGUAUGUAUAUAAAAAAUACAAAUAAAUCACACUAUAUUCGUUGUUUUUUUUUUUUUAACUUGUAAUGAAAUGCGACGUAGAUCAAAAAGGAAAAAUAGAUGACAAUGAAAUUUACGAUGUAAAUCUCCCAGUUCCUAAAAUAAUAAAUCCUGUCCUCUUUAUUCU